GGCUCAGGACGAACGCUGGCGGCGCGCUUAACACAUGCAAGUCGAGCGAGAACCAAGCCUUCGGGCUUGGGGACAGCGGCGAACGGGUGAGUAACACGUGGGUAAUCAACCCUUGACACUGGGAUAGCCCGGGGAAACCCGGAUUAAUACCGGAUACCCCAUCUGGCCUUCGGGCCGGCUGGAAAAGGUAGCUUCGGCCUCCGGUCAGGGACGAGCCCGCGGCGGAUUAGCUUGUUGGCGGGGUAAAAGCCCACCAAGGCGACGAUCCGUAGCUGGUCUGAGAGGACGAUCAGCCACACUGGGACUGAGACACGGCCCAGACUCCUACGGGAGGCAGCAGUGGGGAAUCUUGCGCAAUGGGCGAAAGCCUGACGCAGCGACGCCGCGUGAGGGAAGAAGGCCUUCGGGUUGUAAACCUCUUUCAGGAGGGACGAAGCCACUCGGGUUAAUAGCCCAGAGGGUGACGGUACCUCCAGAAGAAGCCCCGGCUAACUACGUGCCAGCAGCCGCGGUAAUACGUAGGGGGCAAGCGUUGUCCGGAUUUAUUGGGCGUAAAGAGCGUGUAGGCGGCCAUACAGGUCAGCUGUGAAAACUCGGGGCUCAACCCCGAGACGUCGGUUGAAACCGUAUGGCUAGAGUCCGGAAGAGGAGAGUGGAAUUCCCGGUGUAGCGGUGAAAUGCGCAGAUAUCGGGAAGAACACCUAUGGCGAAGGCAGCUCUCUGGGACGGUACUGACGCUGAGACGCGAAAGCGUGGGGAGCGAACAGGAUUAGAUACCCUGGUAGUCCACGCCGUAAACGAUGGGAACUAGGUGUGGCGGGUGUCGACUCCCGCUGUGCCGAAGCUAACGCAUUAA
rnacentral:rRNA from 1 species